AGAGUUUGAUCCUGGCUCAGGAUAAACGCUGGCGGCGUGCUUAAUACAUGCAAGUCGAGCGGCAGCAUGGACUUCGGUCUGAUGGCGAGCGGCGGACGGCUGAGUAACGCGUAGGAAUGUACCCCAAAGUGAGGGAUAAGCUCCAGAAAUGGAGUCUAAUACCGCAUGUGGUCUAAGGAUUAAAGCUUUAUGCGCUUUGG
rnacentral:rRNA from 1 species